AAAUAAGUAAGCUAAACAACCCAAGCUAUUAGGUUCAUACCCUAAAUAUAGACCUUGUCUCUUAUUUA
rnacentral:tRNA from 1 species